rnacentral:tRNA from 1 species
AGCUCCAUAGCUUUGUGGUUAGAGCGCUGGUCUAAUAAACCAAAGGACGUGAGUUCGAUCUUCGCUGGAGCCU